AUUAUAGCUUAGGACAUGAUAUAUGAUAUAGCCAUCUCUUGGACUUCUCUAAAAGCGUAUGAAUUUGUUUAAAUUGCGGCGUCGGAGAAAAAGGGGAAGAGGAUGGCGCCGUUGAAAUCCCUAGAGCCGGAUUACCCGAUUAUCGAUUCCAAUUUCCAGCAAUUCUGCGCUUCUCACCACAUCUUCUCAGUGGAAGAUUUUCUGCUUCAUGACAUUUACGCGCUAGAGCUUUCCACGAAACAACACUUCGAUUCAAAGAGAUUAGAGGAGGGAAUUAGUGUGGUUCGCACUAUCAUGGAGGGUCUGCAUCAACCGUGGUUAAACGGGAUGGAGCUGUUGCAAAAGGCUCAAGGAAAUAAACACGGUAUAUCUACAGGUUAUGAAAGAAUUGAUGUGCUGCUUGAAGGAGGACUAUUCCAGGGAAACCUAGUAGAGCUAGUGGGUCCAUCAUCAUCUGGUAAAACGCAACUUUGCUUGAAAGUUGCUGCAAAUGUAGCAGUAAAUAAUUUGGGUAGUGUCACAUUCUUUGACACGGGAAACUCAUUCUCGCCUAAACGCAUUGAUAAACUUCUGGAUCAGAGCUCAGAGCCAGCUAAAAUAAAGACUGAAGAAGUUCGUCGACGAGUGAUGGACAAAAUAGUCUGUCAGUCCGUGUUCGACAUCUAUGUUUUAUUUGAUCUGCUUCAUCAGCUAAAAUCCACCUUGAAACCUGUGACAGGCUCCUCAGUUCAGAUGCUUAUUGUUGAUUCAAUAUCUUCGCUCGUCACUCCAAUUCUUGGCAGUGGUGCCCAUGGUCAUGCUUUGAUGGUUUCUCUUGGUUUCUUAUUAAAGGAGUUGGCUUAUGAGCAUAACCUCUCUGUAUUGGUGACCAAUCACAUGGUGGGCGCGGAGGGAGGUCACUUGAAACCAGCACUCGGAGAGAGUUGGAAGAAUGUUCCCGACAUGCGGCUUCAUGUUUCCCGUGAUUGUAAGAGCAACAUAUGUAGCAUGUCCAUACUUCGACACCCAUACAUUGUAAGACUGCAGGAAAAGCUGUGAUGUUUUCCUUAAAAUGAUUGACCUAGUUUCGGUUCUGCCCCAAGGUUUCAGUUGGAAAAUGCAUACCUUGGGUUCAAUGAAUGAGCAAAGUAGUGCAGAGACAAGUAGUGCGCAGAGCAUUAUAUGUAGGAGGUACAUAGCCUGAGAGGUUGUAUUCAGAAGCCAUAGUAUAUGACUUUAUAUGGUGAGGAUUUCUUGCAUAGUGAAAUGGUAGGCCCCCAGAAUAAAAUCCUCUGGCAAUCUCAGCAUCUAGCAGAUUUCUCAUCUCCAUAUUGUAAGCUUUGUUAAUGGGAUUAUUUGGAUCACUUGCUCUUUUCUUUGAUGACUGCAUUUGCUUCUUCUCAAUUCCACCCCAAGCACUGCUACAUGAUUGUGUUGCACUUGAAGGAGGCAGUGGAAAUUGCAUCGAAAUUUAGUGUUUCCCCCUCUUUCUUUGGCUACUGCAACCUUAGAGCAUCUCCAACGGUGUUGGCUAUAAUCGUUGGCUAAAUUGGACCUGUAAGACAUUAUGUAAAAUUUGCUGAACCUGUAAUACAUUUUGCUUCAAUGGUAUUGGCUAUAUUGGUUGGCUAUAAUUUAAAAAUAGUAUGUUAUUAAUAUUUUAGAUUGUUAAAAUAGAAUAUAUCAAUUUAAUAUUGUAAUAAAUGAUGUGCAAUUUUCCUACAGAUUUCUUACAGACCUGUAAAGGUUCGACAAAUUUAGCCAUCCAUAAGAGGUUGGCUAAAAUUAUAGACAACAGGUUCACGUGGUUGGAGUGCUAUUUUUUCAAGACGUUGGCUAUAUUUUUUAAUUUUGGAAUGCCAACUCAUUUUUUAGCCAAGGGUUUUGUA